GUGAGUCGGAGCUCUAUGGAGGUGGCAGCGGGUACCGAGUGGCGGCUGCAGCAGCGACUCCUCUGAGCUGAGUUUGAGGCCGUCCCCGACUCCUUCCUCCCCCUUCCCUCCCCCUUUUUUUUGUUUUCCGUUCCCCUUUCCCCUCCCUUCCCUAUCCCCGACGACCGGAUCCUGAGGAGGCAGCUGCGGUGGCAGCUGCUGAGUUCUCGGUGAAGGUAUUUCAUUUCUCCUGUCCCCUCCCCUCCCCACCCCAUCUAUUAAUAUUAUUCUUUUGAAGAUUCUUCGUUGUCAAGCCGCCAAAGUGGAGAGUGCGAUUGCAGAAGGGGGUGCUUCUCGUUUCAGUGCUUCUUCGGGCGGAGGAGGAAGUAGGGGUGCACCUCAGCACUAUCCCAAGACUGCUGGCAACAGCGAGUUCCUGGGGAAAACCCCAGGGCAAAACGCUCAGAAAUGGAUUCCUGCACGAAGCACUAGACGAGAUGACAACUCCGCAGCAAACAACUCCGCAAACGAAAAAGAACGACAUGAUGCAAUCUUCAGGAAAGUAAGAGGCAUACUAAAUAAGCUUACUCCUGAAAAGUUUGACAAGCUAUGCCUUGAGCUCCUCAAUGUGGGUGUAGAGUCUAAACUCAUCCUUAAAGGGGUCAUACUGCUGGUAAGUUUUAAAUAUUGGCUUAACUCAAAAGGGAGAGGGAACUGUUUAACAAACUCAAGUUGUGUUUUUUUACACUUGGAUUACUACUUAAAACCCUUAGGUGUGAGUUAGAUAGGUAUGUAUUUUUGAAUACUGAUGGUGAUUAAAAAGAACCACUGACUUUAGUAGCAUUAGAUUGAAGAGGUAAAUGUUAAGUUCAUGGUAUGGUUGAAGAGGUAAAUGGGAGUGCUUAGCAAGCUGUUCUUUUUCUUUUGUGGAAAACACCGUAUUUAGGUCUUGGAAAUGCAUUGUAUGACAGUUUAUGUAGACUUGAAAGUUUUGAUAUCCAUGGCAUUUUCUGACUCCCAGGAGAUGGAUGUGACUAGAUGAAAUCUGUAUAACUGGACAUUUUUGGUAGACUGUAAUAGCUAACAUUUAGGUGGUUGUAUUUUUCCUAAAGGAAGGGUUCUUGGAGAAGUUUUCAUAUUUAGUUUAAGCAAUGACAUUUUCUGUAGAUUGUGGACAAAGCCCUAGAAGAGCCAAAGUAUAGCUCACUGUAUGCUCAGCUAUGUCUGCGAUUGGCAGAAGAUGCACCAAACUUUGAUGGCCCAGCAGCAGAGGGUCAACCAGGACAGAAGCAAAGCACCACAUUCAGACGCCUCCUAAUUUCCAAAUUACAAGAUGAAUUUGAAAACCGAACUAGAAAUGUUGAUGUCUAUGAUAAGCGUGAAAAUCCCCUCCUCCCCGAGGAGGAGGAACAGAGAGCCAUUGCUAAGAUCAAGAUGUUGGGAAACAUCAAAUUCAUUGGAGAGCUUGGCAAGCUUGAUCUUAUUCACGAAUCUAUCCUUCAUAAGUGCAUCAAAACACUUUUGGAAAAGAAGAAGAGAGUCCAACUCAAAGAUAUGGGAGAGGAUUUGGAGUGCCUCUGUCAGAUAAUGAGGACAG
rnacentral:lncRNA from 1 species